UGUGCAGUCAGUGUGUGCCCAAAGUGC
rnacentral:sRNA from 1 species